GCUACAGGUAGAACCAUGAAAGCAAAAAUCUUAUUGGCCACCGUGGAUUACUGCCCCAGUGCAGAGUGUUGGUAGUUGGUCGGAGCGCCCACUCGCUCUCUGUUGGAGAUUUCAGGCUGGCAGGUGUUAGUGCCAGAUUCCUGUCAUAUCUCCUAUUUGUUGUUAUAUGAACCCAACCCUCGACCUUAAAGUAGAACUGCAACACCCAAAUGUAUAUGUUUGUGCCCAUAAAUAAGGGGAGACAGCAGAGCUUGGGGGCAGGGUUGAUGCUUGUUAUGUUUUGCAGUGUCCUUUCUUUUAUACCCCUCAUUGCUCUGAUUGCAGGACUAUGUAUAGUGAAGCCUUCCUGCAUCUUGGCUUUAGUCUGCAUGUUCUAGAAGGGCAAUGAGAGAUGUGGAAGGUCUGAGAGGCUUUAACGGAGGCACAAAGUGGUGACCAACUGCCCCACUGAGCACUUGUGACAUUCAGGUCCUCCUCCUCGCUCAGUUGCUCGUCUGAGCUCACUUCCUGGCCGGUGUCGUGGCCAGUUUGGAAUGGUGACUCCUGGGAAA